rfam:Ictidomys tridecemlineatus contig024344, whole genome shotgun sequence.
GGGGAUGAAGCUUAGUGGUAGAGCACUUGCCUAGUGUGCAUGAGACCUUGGGUUCCAUCCCUGCACCCCCC